rnacentral:rRNA from 1 species
CAGCAGCCGCGGGAAUACGUAGGUGGCAAGCGUUGUCCGGAAUUAUUGGGCGUAAAGGGCUCGCAGGCGGUUUCUUAAGUCUGAUGUGAAAGCCCCCGGCUCAACCGGGGAGGGUCAUUGGAAACUGGGAAACUUGAGUGCAGAAGAGGAGAGUGGAAUUCCACGUGUAGCGGUAAAAUGCGUAGAUCUCGAGAGGAACACCAAUGGCGAAGGCAGCUUCUUGGUCCAUUCCUGACGUUCAUACACGAAAGCGUGGGGAGCAAACAGGAUUAGAUACCCCUGUAGUCCCUGUCUCUUAUAC